UGUCUCUUUGAAAUAUGAUCCAUAAUGGCUCAUCUUGAAUCACUGCAUAACGAAGUGUCCCUGGCUUUGGGGUCACAGGGUCAUCAUCACCAGAGUCAGUGACCACAUAAAUUUUACCACCUUUUCCACCAAUUGCAUUUUUGCCAAACCCAAUUGCACAAUCUGCUAGCCUUUGUCUAUUCUUCUCCCAGUUGGGGUCACACCUCCAACAAUCAUCAAUGGGGUUUCCUGUCCCACAUGAGAGGCCCUAUGGCAUACAUUUCCCAAUGGGUAUAGUCAUUGUUCACCACAUGGAAAUAUCCAUGCCUACACCUGCAAUAAUCACAAAUGUUUUUCAAAUAUUAGCACUAAUGGCCCCACAUAGUAAUUAAGAGUAUUGACAAAGUGACACACACUCAUCCCCAUGCACAUGCUUUCAUUUCUAUAAUACAUCCUUUUCACUUUCACUUUACUCCUUUUUGUGUUCCAUUUCUUGGUGUGUAUGUGCAAUUUAUCAUAAGAAUUGGAAAAGUUUUAGUACCCUAUUACUAACAUUAAUUUACUUUAUUUUACCUUGGCAUUCUUUGAACAAGCCCUUCUCCAAAGUGAUUAAAAGCUAUUGUGACUUGCAUGUUCUUGUCUUGAGUAUAUGUAUCACUAUGACCCAAUAACAUAACCUUGUCAUGGUGUGUCAUGUAAUUGUUGGAUAAGGUAAUAGCUGUGGACCCAUGAAUAGCAUCAAUUAACCCAUCAUUGCAAUUAGACAAAGAACAAUGAUCCACCCAUAUAUGAGAUCCACCAAAGAUUGAAACACCAUCACCAUCAGAUAUGGUUCUCCACCCAUAGUGCCUUGGGGAGUCUCUCACCAUAGCAUUACCACCUUGCUUACAAUCAUGUAUAUUAAUCCCGUGGACUAUAACAUUUGUUACAUAUUGUAUAGUAAUGCAUGGACCGCCAGCAAUGUGAACACUAGCACCUCUUCCAUCAAUGGUUUUGAAUGAAUUCAUUAUGAGCUCUUCCUUUAGCUUAAUAACCAUGUCUCUUUGAAAUAUGAUCCAUAAUGGCUCAUCUUGAAUCACUGCAUAACGAAGUGUCCCUGGCUUUGGGGUCACAGGGUCAUCAUCACCAGAGUCAGUGACCACAUAAAUUUUACCACCUUUUCCACCAAUUGCAUUUUUGCCAAACCCAAUUGCACAAUCUGCUAGCCUUUGUCUAUUCUUCUCCCAGUUGGGGUCACACCUCCAACAAUCAUCAAUGGGGUUUCCUGUCCCACAUGAGAGG
rnacentral:lncRNA from 1 species